rnacentral:rRNA from 1 species
UGGGGAAUAUUGCACAAUGGAGGGAACUCUGAUGCAGCGACGCCGCGUGAACGAAGAAGGCUUUCGAGUCGUAAAGUUCUUUUAUAUGGGAAGAUAAUGACGGUACCAUAAGAAAAGGCCCCGGCUAACUACGUGCCAGCAGCCGCGGUAAUACGUAGGGGGCUAGCGUUGUCCGGAAUCACUGGGCGUAAAGGGUUCGCAGGCGGAAAUGCAAGUCAGGUGUAAAAGGCAGUAGCUUAACUACUGUAAGCAUUUGAAACUGCAUAUCUUGAGAAGAGUAGAGGUAAGUGGAAUUUUUAGUGUAGCGGUGAAAUGCGUAGAUAUUAAAAAGAAUACCGGUGGCGAAGGCGGCUUACUGGGCUCAUUCUGACGCUGAGGAACGAAAGCGUGGGUAGCAAACAGG